rnacentral:misc_RNA from 1 species
GAUGAAGAACGUAGCGAAAUGUGAUAAGUAAUGUGAAUUGCAGAAUUCAGUGAAUCAUCGAAUCUUUGAACGCACAUUGCGCCCGCCAGAAUUCUGGCGGGCAUGCCUGUUCGAGCGUCAUUUCAACCCUCGAGCUCCCCUUGGGGAGCCCGGCGUUGGGGACCGGCAGUAACACCGCCGGCCCCGAAAUGGAGUGGCGGCCCCGCCCGCGGCGACCUCUGCGUAGUAAAUCCACUCGCACCGGGACCCGGGCGCGGCCACGCCGUAAAACACCCAACUUCCGAAUGUUGACCUCGAAUCAGGUAGGAAUACCCGCUGAACUUAAGCAUAUCAAUAAGCGGAGGA